CAUGAGGAGGCUGGCAAAAGGGCCCUCUCCUCAUGAGGUCUGGUUAAUAUCAGGAAUUAUUGCCUCAAACGCUGCAGGUUCAACCUGGAUCAGAAGCCAAGACCAAUGCCGCACUUGGAAGGGACGACCAAUAGUUCUGUGUUCCUGACCUGUCUUACAGUCUUUCGCUUCUAUCCGCAGUGGACCAUUUGGCUGAUCACGUCACUCUACAGCUGUUCUGCCACAUUUGAGCACCCACAUUAAAGACAAAAGUUGGGGAGAUAAUGAAGAGGCAAGACAGCAAUAUGGGAUUGGCUGGAAAGAUGACAGACUGCAUAUGCACAUCAAAUAAAUUCCAAACGCAGCCAUCUAUUCCCAAGAUAUUUGUAACCCUAAUGACCUGCUGCUGAAGGAUAAUCAAACCACAGUGACUAGGAAAUCAUUUCAUCAUUCCAUAAAGAUCUGCUGAGCCCCUCUAAGUGCUGAGGACUAUGGAAAGAGGCCACAGUCAGGGCAGAUAGUCUUUGCCCUUAAUUGCUCAAGAAUGAAGUGGAUGCAAUCCUGGAACUCACAGUUGGGCAGGGGCAGUUUUCAGAUAUGACAGGCCUGCUUUCCUGAGAUAUGACUCAGCCCAGAAUAAAUAUUUGUGCUUCAUCGAAGGGUUU
rnacentral:lncRNA from 1 species